GUCUCCCUGUAUCUCAGUGGUUAGGGCAUCUGACUGUUGUGCAGAAGGUCAUGGGUUCAACUAUCAUCAGGGACU